UCUCUUGAGAGCGGCGGACGGGUGAGUAAUGCCUAGGAAUCUGCCUGGUAGUGGGGGAUAACGUUCGGAAACGGACGCUAAUACCGCAAACGUCCUACGGGAGAAAGCAGGGGACCUUCGGGCCUUGCGCUAUCAGAUGAGCCUAGGUCGGAUUAGCUAGUUGGUGGGGUAAUGGCUCACCAAGGCGACGAUCCGUAACUGGUCUGAGAGGAUGAUCAGUCACACUGGAACUGAGACACGGUCCAGACUCCUACGGGAGGCAGCAGUGGGGAAUAUUGGACAAUGGGCGAAAGCCUGAUCCAGCCAUGCCGCGUGUGUGAAGAAGGUCUUCGGAUUGUAAAGCACUUUAAGUUGGGAGGAAGGGUUGUAGAUUAAUACUCUGCAAUUUUGACGUUACCGACAGAAUAAGCACCGGCUAACUCUGUGCCAGCAGCCGCGGUAAUACAGAGGGUGCAAGCGUUAAUCGGAAUUACUGGGCGUAAAGCGCGCGUAGGUGGUUUGUUAAGUUGGAUGUGAAAUCCCCGGGCUCAACCUGGGAACUGCAUUCAAAACUGACUGACUAGAGUAUGGUAGAGGGUGGCUGGAAUUUCCUGUGUAGCGGUGAAAUGCGUAGAUAUAGGAAGGAACACCAGUGGCGAAAGCUACCACCUGGACUAAUACUGACACUGAGGUGCGAAAGCGUGAUGAGCUGACAGGAUUAGAUACCCUGGUAGUCCACUACGUAAACGAUGUCAACUAGCCGUUGGAAGCCUUGAGCUUUUAAUGGCGCAGCUCACGCAUUAAGUUGACCCCCUGGGGAGUACCGCCGCAGAGUUAAAACUCGAAUGAAUUGACGGGGGACCGCGCAGAC
rnacentral:rRNA from 1 species